GGGUGCACCCCGCGCCCGCGGGAACUGUGGCGUAAGGAAGUCCGACUCUGCGGUCGCGCGGGCGCCGAGGUCCUUCUGAUCGAGGCCUCCUCCGUCCCAGGGCGGGUGUCAGGCCCCUGCGGGCGCCGGCCGGCCGCGGACCAGGGCUUCCGGGAGUCGGGUUGUUUUGUAGCGCAGCCCAAAGACGGGUGGUAAACUCCAUCCAAGGCUAAAUACCAGCACGAGACCGAUAGAGCACAAGUACCGUGAGGGAAA
rnacentral:rRNA from 1 species